rnacentral:rRNA from 1 species
UACGUAGGUGGCGAGCGUUAUCCGGAAUUACUGGGCGUAAAGCGCACGUAGGCGGCUGGCUAAGUCUGACGUGAAAGCUCCUGGCUUAACUGGGAGAGGACGUUGGAGACUGGCCGGCUUGAGGCGAUGAGAGGGACGUAGAAUUCCCGGUGUAGUGGUGGAAUGCGUAGAUAUCGGGGGGAAUACCAGUGGCGAAAGCGGCGUCCUAGCAUCGGCCUGACGUUCAUGUGCGAAAGCGUGGGGAGCGAACGGG